UACAGGGGGGGCAAGCGUUGUUCGGAAUUACUGGGCGUAAAGCGUGCGCAGGCGGUUUUGUAAGUCAGAUGUGAAAUCCCCGGGCUUAACCUGGGAACUGCGUUUGAAACUACAAGGCUAGAGUGUGGCAGAGGGGGGUGGAAUUCCACGUGUAGCAGUGAAAUGCGUAGAGAUGUGGAGGAACACCGAUGGCGAAGGCAGCCCCCUGGGUUAACACCGACGCUCAGGCACGAAAGCGUGGGGAGCAAACAGG
rnacentral:rRNA from 1 species